rnacentral:rRNA from 1 species
GACGAACGCUGGCGGCGUGCUUAACACAUGCAAGUCGAGCGAUGAAAUUCCUUCGGGAAUGGAUUAGCGGCGGACGGGUGAGUAACACGUGGGUAACCUGCCUCAUAGAGGGGAAUAGCCUUCCGAAAGGAAGAUUAAUACCGCAUAAGAUUGUAGUAUCGCAUGAUACAGCAAUUAAAGGAGUAAUCCACUAUGAGAUGGACCCGCGUCGCAUUAGCUAGUUGGUGAGGUAACGGCUCACCAAGGCGACGAUGCGUAGCCGACCUGAGAGGGGGAUCGGCCACAUUGGGACUGAGACACGGCCCAGACUCCUACGGGAGGCAGCAGUGGGGAAUAUUGCACAAUGGGGGAAACCCUGAUGCAGCAACGCCGCGUGAGUGAUGACGGUCUUCGGAUUGUAAAGCUCUGUCUUCAGGGACGAUAAUGACGGUACCUGAGGAGGAAGCCACGGCUAACUACGUGCCAGCCGCCGCAGUAACAC